GUCAUCAUUUUUUAUCGAGUUGAUGGAAAAAUUCCAUGGAGUUUCAGAUGAAAUGAAAACAAGGUUGAAAAUCGGAAAUUGAAAAAACGGAACGAUUGAUGAGUUUCGUAUAGUUUCGGGUUGUAUAGUGAAGA
ensembl:ncRNA B0034.17 ncRNA